ACAGCCCACAAGCUUAUUAUUGAACAGGUAUAUUAUUAACGGAAUGACGGGGAUUCCAACUUACAGCUCAGAUACGAGUGACAAUAAUUACUUUACAGUAUUAUAAUAUGUUAACCGACUUUUUUAUGUUUAGUACUAGUUAAAACAUGAGCAGCCGAUCUUUAUCUAAUAUACAAACUCGAGAUCAGAUUUAGAUCGGAUGCGAAUAACGCGCUUAAAAUCCGACCCAUCUUAUGAGUUCAUUGGCGAAGUAAUUUUAAAAAUAAACAUUGUCUAAGCCGAUAAAAACAAAGCUGAAGUUUAUGUAAAUCCGGACAAAUCUUUAUCCGAUUUACAAACAUUGAU